rnacentral:tRNA from 1 species
GCCUGGCUGGCUCAGUUGGUAGAGCAUAUGACUCUUGAUCUCUGGGUUGUGAGUUUGAGUCCCAUGUUGGGUG